CCAGGUACGGGUCGGUUACCCCGCCCCGAGGGCGGGCGGGCGACAGGGCGAAGCCGGAAGGGCCACUCGCCGGGUGACCCCUGCCGGGUGCCCUCCCCCCAGCCAUGGGUGUGCAGCCCUCUAACUUCUCCUGGGUGCUCCCGGGCCGGCUGGCGGGGCUGGCAUUGCCUCGGCUCCCCGCCCACUACCAGUUCCUGCUGGACCAGGGCGUGCGACACCUGGUGUCCCUGACCGAGCACGGGCCCCCCCACGGCACCAGCAGUCCUGGCCUAACGCUGCACCGACUGCGCAUCCCGGACUUCUGCCCGCCGGCCCCGGACCAGAUCGACCACUUCGUGCAGAUCGUGGACGAGGCCAACGCCCGAGGAGAGGCCGUGGGAGUGCACUGUGCCCUGGGAUUCGGCCGCACUGGCACCAUGCUGGCCUGCUACCUGGUGAAGGAGCAGGGCUUGGCUGCUGGAGAUGCUAUUGCUGAAAUCCGGCGCUUGCGACCCGGCUCCAUCGAAACCUACGAGCAGGAGAAAGCAGUCUUCCAGUUCUACCAACGAACUAAAUAAGGGGCCUCAGCACCCUCCUGCCAGGCCCCUGCUCUGCUGCCUACAUGGAAGGUAAGACCAGAGACAGAAGGAAGUGGACUCAAGCUUCAAGCCUCCAGCUCCCGUGGCUCCUGCUGGACUGAAGUAGCCCUUUCCUGCAGGUAUGAUCAAAAAUACGAUGAAUACUGCUGCCAGGUGCCAUCCAGCAGAAAGGUGGGCUCAUGAAGUAUUGCAGCGUAUCCUCACCUACAUGCAGCAGGAUCAGGUACUGUGCAACUUUGGGCUCUUCCCCAAAAUCAAAAUGACCAUGAAAGGUAAAUGUUUUGAAUCAAUUCAGGAAAUUGAGGCAACCACAAUGGCACAACUAAAGACACUCCCAAAGGAGGACUUCCAGGACGGCUACAGACAGCGCCAAACAUGACAGGAUAAGCAUGUUGGAAGUAGCCAGGUAUUUUCUCCUUUUCAUGGAUGAGGAAACAGAUUUAGAGAGAUGAAUAACAUACCAGAAACCACACUUGUGUUGAAGAAGCGGGGACAGAAACCCAAGUCAUCUCAGGAGCCCAGAGCUCUUGUUUCUUUGAGCAGACUUACACCUACCAAGAUUUUCCCUGGCUGCAGGGACGCAGGAGAGGCUUCGUCAUUGUCAGAGCUGACCAUGGGAUCCAUCUUGUCCACAUGGCCUUCAGGGACCCGUCUCUUCAUCUUCUGUUUGGUGCUGUACAUGCUGCUGAAGACAACAGCACCUGAAUUAUCUGCAGCUCUCUAACACACAGCCUGGGCACUGAAGGCCAAAAUAGUGAAUUCUCAUCAGUGUGGUUCUGUCACAUUCACUGUUGUCUAAUUCAGAGCACACAGAUGUCCUCACUCAGCAGGAUGGUCCUGAAGUGUGUAUGACUGGCAUGGAGCCCCCACAAGAGGUCUUUUUAUGUCUGAUGGUUUAUUUUAAAAAUGCUUAAUGCCCUUUCUGUUUUUGUCGUUGUUGUUUGACCCCUUAAUGCAUACCCAGCCCUGAGCCAGGUACUUUACAGACAUUCCCUCAUUCACUUCUCAAAAAAUAAAACCUGUGAAAAAUAAAUAAAUAAUAAAACCCAUGGGCAAAUUCCUAUUUCAAUAACCAAUGCACAGAUGAGCAAACUGAGACCCAGAGGGUUUUUAAGUAGCUUAUCCAAAGUCACAUGGUAAAGCAACAUUCCAACUCUACCCCCUUGAGCCUGUGAUUCAAAAAUACAUAGCAGUAUCUUGGGUUCCCCAGAAUCUGGGCAUUUGGACUCAUGGAACCAUCCCUGGAGCCCUCAGAUCACAUGGCUUCCUGAGUGUACUGCCCACCUCUUCCUCAGCACGGCUCUGAUUUGGGAGAGACCCGGCUGCCAGCACCUGCCACAUCCCCGACAGGUUCUCCACUCCGACACCAUCAAAGAUGCAGUACCCUGCCAAUUUAGAAAUGAGUUACACAAGCACAUCUUCCAUUACGUUUAAAGCUCUCUCAGGCUAUUGUGGAUUCAAGGCAUCCUCUUGAGAAGGCAGUGUGCUUGCCCACACAAGCAGCAGUCUGAGAAACACCUCGGUGCACGUCCAUGCCUGAAGCUGAUGACUUAUUUGCAGCCUUGAUAACAGGGUCCAUCGUGCCAAUGAAUUACUUAAAUUGCUUCAACCACUCUCACCCUGUUUUUCCCUUGACUUCACUCUGUUACCAUGCAUAUGUGAUCAAGAAACAAAUUAGUGAUGUCACCUCACUGAAUUUUCAAUAUGUGACAUUCAGUAUGGCAAACAGUUCUGGGAUUUUUCUCUCAGCUUUUAUAAUAAACAGACCAUCUCUUCUUUA